rnacentral:rRNA from 1 species
UUGCUCCUGGAUUCAGCGGCGGACGGGUGAGUAAUGCCUAGGAAUCUGCCUGGUAGUGGGGGAUAACGUCCGGAAACGGGCGCUAAUACCGCAUACGUCCUGAGGGAGAAAGUGGGGGAUCUUCGGACCUCACGCUAUCAGAUGAGCCUAGGUCGGAUUAGCUAGUUGGUGGGGUAAAGGCCUACCAAGGCGACGAUCCGUAACUGGUCUGAGAGGAUGAUCAGUCACACUGGAACUGAGACACGGUCCAGACUCCUACGGGAGGCAGCAGUGGGGAAUAUUGGACAAUGGGCGAAAGCCUGAUCCAGCCAUGCCGCGUGUGUGAAGAAGGUCUUCGGAUUGUAAAGCACUUUAAGUUGGGAGGAAGGGCAGUAAGUUAAUACCUUGCUGUUUUGACGUUACCAACAGAAUAAGCACCGGCUAACUUCGUGCCAGCAGCCGCGGUAAUACGAAGGGUGCAAGCGUUAAUCGGAAUUACUGGGCGUAAAGCGCGCGUAGGUGGUUCAGCAAGUUGGAUGUGAAAUCCCCGGGCUCAACCUGGGAACUGCAUCCAAAACUACUGAGCUAGAGUACGGUAGAGGGUGGUGGAAUUUCCUGUGUAGCGGUGAAAUGCGUAGAUA